rnacentral:rRNA from 1 species
UGCGUAGGCGGAAGAUUAAGUCAGUGAUGAAAUCCUGCAGCUCAACUGUAGAACUGUCAUUGAUACUGAUUUUCUUGAAUACAGUUGAGGUAGGCGGAAUAUGUAAUGUAGCGGUGAAAUGCUUAGAUAUUACAUAGAACACCGAUUGCGAAGGCAGCUUACUAAACUGUGAUUGACGCUGAGGCACGAAAGCGUGGGGAGCGAACAGGAUUAGAUACCCUGGUAGUCC